UACGAAGGGGGCUAGCGUUGUUCGGAAUUACUGGGCGUAAAGCGCGUGUAGGCGGGUCUUUUAAGUCAGGGGUGAAAUGCCAAGGCUCAACCUUGGAACUGCCUUUGAUACUGGAGAUCUUGAGUCCGGGAGAGGUGAGUGGAACUGCGAGUGUAGAGGUGAAAUUCGUAGAUAUUCGCAAGAACACCAGUGGCGAAGGCG
rnacentral:rRNA from 1 species